GCAAAUCCCCUGAAUUAUGCCUGCACAACCAAGGCAGGGUUUGGCGUAACUAGACUGUAAAGAUCAAGGUCAGAGCAGGGAGGGCCUUGCAGGCCAUGCUAGGAAGGAACAGUCACAAUCUCAUAUUGCCCUGUGCAUACACCUGUCACUCUGAGCUCCUACAUUCAUUCAACAAAUAUUUAAUGAGUAGCUACUAUGUGCCAGAUACUAUGCCAGGCCCUGGAGAUUCAAUGAGUUUUUCUUAUUUGGAGCUUAAAUUUUAAUGAAAGUUCCUUUCCUGAGGGUGAGGCCUGUGUUUUGUUUGUCUUAGGACCUGCAUAGUGCCUAGCACAGUGUCUGACAGGUAACAGGCACCCAAACUUUGAAUGAAGAAAAGAAGGAAUGAAAGAAUGGAGGUAGUGAAAUGGCAGAACAAUCCCUGAUGCUAACAGAAUCGAAGGCAGGGGGUCAGUCAGGAGCCGGCUAGUCUGGCCUUGCACUAGCCAGGCCCUGCCCUGUUCCCCACUCCCUGCACUCUAGGGGUCCCGUGCCCACCUGCCUGCUUCUCAUUAUCCCCUUGGUUCCUGCAUGAGGCCCCAUCAGAGACCAAAGCAGAGGCAGUGUCAGUUCCUUUGCUGCAAGGGGAAAGCAGAGGAGGAUGUGCCCUUCACUCCAACUGUCCAGGCUACACAGAGGGAAAAUGACCCCUGCUGUCUAAGUUGGAUCCUUGACUGCAUUUUCCCCAAAGACAUAUUCCUAGACAUAGCAGUUAGGUUCGCUAGUACUACCACCACUGUAUUUCAGACAGAUUUUUGGCCACACAAAAUUCUGAGGGUUGGCUUGGGGACCUAAACACCUUCUGUAACAAUCUUUUUCUAAGGAAAUGCUCUUGUGAUUUCUAAUGCCGUGUUGUAGACUUUCCAAAGCUAAAUAUAAACUGCUUGUAUUGCAUGCUCCCUAUGGCCUGUACUCUUGGCCCAGGAAAAACACUUGAGGCAAGGACUGUGCCUCCUUGGAAUCCUCUACUAAGAACUGUACAAAAGCCACGACUCAACACCAUGCCUUGCUCAUCAAUGUGUGCUGAGUAAGAGGGUAGGAAGUGAACUUGGGUGUCUAAUCUGAUCUUGCCCACAGCAAUUUUGGAAAGUUUUGACCAUGAAUGCAAAGGGCCAUCGCUGUCAUGCUGCCUCACACCCAAGGUUUCUGUAUCUUAACUCAAGCCUUUCACCGCAGAGAAGACACUGUAGACCGUGAACUCCAGUCCGUUCAGGGAGGGAUAUCUCAUUACCCAUGGCCCGCAGCCCGGACUAUCAGUCUCCCAUCAGGAGCAGCUUGAAUGGCACUGGCUCACCCUGAACUUCUGCAUUUGGCUCGUGGCCCUGGGGGGAGACUUUGCAUGUUUGACUUUCUUGAGCUCUUCACACAUUUGUCUUUAACUAGUUUACUGCUGGUGCGCUUGGGAGACAUUACCUUUGAGCAUUUCACCUUAACUGAUCUUUUUUCCCCUGCCUUUUCUUUUUAGCCGUUUGCUGCCUUAUUUUGAGCCUUCACCACAGAAUUUGGUGCAUUCAACGUUCAACUUCCUUUUUUUUGCGUUGACAUUGCUGUUCUUCACGCCCCUUUGGUUUGCAGCAUACCCUUUUCACCCUGAUUUUUGCUUGUAAAAGCUGCAUUUCCUCUCCAGUCUAUCAUCACCUCUGUAAACACCAAGUCUGGAUGUAUGUCCAGAUGAGCCCCAGAGAUCUCCUCCAGGCCUCUCCACGCAGAGUGCUUGUGUGCUUAAUAUCUGCAAAGCCACGUUCGCUGCCUUGAGCGAGGAGACGCAGAGUCAGGCACGGCAGCAACGGAUGUUCAUCCUCCCAACACGGUAUCAGGCAACAUGUUUGGCCACUACAGUUGUCUCACAGCAGCUAAUUCAGAAGCCAGCUCUGGCUGCCGUGCGUCCUUGAUGGGAAAUGCCUCCAGUCCUACGCUUGCAAUCAGGUCAACCAAAGGUUCACUUCCCAGCACAUUUGGAAGAAUGGCCUUCUUUUAAAAGUUGGAAAAACUGAGUCAGAGAGAGGUGAAGAUGAAGUUCACACAUCUGUCAGCACCAUCAUCAACAUUACCAUCAUGUCUCUUGUCUGUAAUAAAUGGUGAAUAGGAUAGACAAGAUUUCUAGAAACAUGUAUUUCAUAAAUGUGGACAAAUUAUUAAGGACAAAUAUAUUAAUGUGAAAUAACUUAAUAGAUGAAUUACAUGUAAUUUGUAUUUUUUGCAAGUAAAUAAUAGUAAUAUCUAUUUGCUUAGCCUUAUACAGCUAAAAAGUGUUUCCCGUAUAUGAGCUUAGAAAAAGUUCUUAACGUGAGUAAAUAUGGGCAUUCCCUGUUCAGAGAAGAGUAGAGUCACAGAGCGUGUCUGGGCCAAAGUUCCUGGGCGAGUGGGUGCCAGAAUCAGGACUAAAACUCUGCCUUCUAACCGGAGACCACCUCCUCUUUAUUUCCUCCUGCUUCUGUGAGCAGGAAGGCGAUACAGGAACUUCAUGUCGAGAGCCUGGAUUAAGUGACAUUUCACUUCAUGGAGAAGUCUUCCUAGAGGGAUUUGAGAAGUUCUAGGGAACCUUGUUAUUUUGAGACAAUAUGUUUUCUUCAAACCAAGGAACACCAUUUGAGGACGUUUAGUAAAAGAAGUUCUGGGGAAAGCCCAGUGGUGGCAGGAGGGGUGGUGGAGGACUUUCCCCACUUGUCAUCUUCCAUUUACAUUUAGAUAAGGCCUGGUGGAGAAUUGUAUAGCCAGUUGCAAGGAUAAGUUUAAGUUGGUGUGAUCUGAAACACAGCCAGUUCAUUUCUUUCUAAAAGGCAGAGGCACGGUAUCUAAGACUUGUAUCUUGAAAUGUAUGUGAGAACCUUCUAGCCCUGAGAGUUCCCAUCAGGUUAGGAGGUCACAGCUCUUCGAACACGAACCGCAGCUUCGCGAUCAGUAUAGAAGUCUACAAUUACAACCAUUCUUUGGAAUCCUCUCAGCCAACGAGACAUUCCUUGGCUGGUUUAGAAAAACCAGUGCAGAUUUGCACUGGGAAAGGAAUGCAGUCUGGAAGAAUGGCCAAUGAUUUACAGAUUAAGUCUCCUAUUAACUAAGAAAGAAUAAGGAAAGGAGGUUUAAAAACUAUUCUGCCACCCCGCCUCGAAAAUGUUUACAGGAGAAGCAGUGUGAGUGACAAGGUGGGGAGGUGGCAGACGCACUGAAUGGGACACAGAACUGAAUGGUGGAACCAGGAGUGACCUGGCAUCGUCAUCGGGAUCCCUUAGGUCUUCACAGCAGUUGUGACUUUCGGAGAUGAUUCAGUACUUAUUAUUUCAAUGGGUUAAAAAUUAUUAAAGACUCUGUGGGUCCAGGCAGAGAGGCACCAUUUCCACCUUACAGAUAAGGACACUGAGUUUCGGCGAGGUUAGGCGUUUUAUCCAGGCAAGUCCGAAGUGGAUGAGCCACCUCCUGGUUUCGGGGCCUGACUUCUGAUUGCCACUAGGCGCCUGCCUCCCCGCAGGAGGAGAAAGUCUUGACCCGUAACCUGGGGAAAUGGGAUUGCCCGAGUGAGGCAUGAGGAGGUGGAGUUUCUCUAACUGCUCCUCAGAGAAGGAUGCUGAGUGGGGAAGACAGUGGCUGGCAGGCCUGGUGCCAGGGACUCUGGGAGGAAGGGGCUGGAGAGGUCCAGGAGAAACACGGGCAGGAACUGGACUGAGACAGCGUUUGAAAGAUGAACAAGGAGAUGGAAGUUUGGAGAUGGAAAGGAAAAGGCAAGCUCCAGCAGUUGACAAUGGAAAGGCAACGGCCUGUGGGAAAUAACUCAGAGAUUUCCUGCUUCUGAAGCCAGUGCUGUGCUGUCAUGGCCACUGCUCCCGGCAGGUGACACGGAGAGAUGCCUUGUGCCAGGCGUGUCGGGGGCCAGGAGGGCCCAGAACUCCUGACUCGGGUGUCAGAGGAGGUGUCCGAGGCCCGCCCCGCGCUCACCUCCUGGAUGUUCUGCUUCGCCCGGCUGUCAGAGGGAUGCAUAAUCGUCCCCAUCACUUUCAUGUUGCCACAGACAACCAGGGCUUCGUCCGGUGCAUCUGUGUUUAUGCCCACUCGACCAUGACAAACAACAGAUUCUGGAACUUGUCCUCGCUGCCAUAAUGCAUCAAUGUCAUUUUCAAAUUGCCCAGGGUUGGAGGCCUGGAGAAAAUACAUAAAUAUAUUACAAUUAAAGUUAUAGAUGCAGGAAUAGAUGAUCGCUUUAUUCCUCAAAGGAAAACAGAAUGUUAGCCAAGUCUUUCACUUGAGAAUCACAUGUUGGAUGGGACACUCUGACAUAUCCGAAUAACUGUGACCCCAGGAGAGCCAGGGAGACUCUCCUAACUGUUCUGCCCCCACCAGCAGAAGCUCAGCGUGUCAUGGUUUGCAAUGUCCAGUCUCUAUAUGGAAUUGAGAAUGUGUCAGUUAUAGUAGGUGGACGAUAAGGAGAAGAAGAACACUCAAAAUGAGUAUUUUUUCAGGGAGAAUAAUAAUAAUGAUUUAAAACCAGAAUAUUACAUCAGAAAAUCUCACAAGUUUAUUAAAGCUCAGAUAAUUUCAAAAAAACCCUUGCAUUUAGCUAGCCCUUCCAUAGUUUCAAAACACCUUCAUGUUUAUGAUUUCAUACACAACUGACAAGCAAAUGACAAUACAAAUAUAUUUAGUACACCUCAGCUAUUCCCUAGACACAGAUGAUUCUGACAGAAGAACUGUAACAGCUGCAUUUGCUGUGUGCUAAUCCACACCCCAAUUCUAUGCGAUAGGACCAUUAUCUUCCUUUUACUGACGCUGAGACUCUGAAAGAAUAAACAGAUUGCCCAAGGCCACAAAGUUAAUGAGUUCUAGAGCUGCGAUUAUGCUUCCUUUGAUUAUUAAAUAAUGAUUCUAAUUUUGAGUUUUGCGGUAUUGCCUAAAAAAGCCCUGGCCAAAUGCAGUCUUCAAAGAAAAUCCAAGUGAAUCUAUCAGACUAGAGAAAGUUCUGGAGAUUUUACUGUUAAAUAAAUUUUUUUUGCCAAAGAAUUUUCCACUGUACUGCCUUCCCUCCUCCCCAUUUCCCUGUUGCCACUGAAUAUAUUUCCACAAAUCUUUAAGUAGGGAUCUAUGAAUCCACCAAAAUCCUCACAACGAAAUUAAUUUGUUUUUUAAAUUAUGACCUAUCCUUCUCUUACUCUCUUGGUAUUAUUUGAAUGUUUUUACCAUAGGCAUGCGUUACCAAUUUACAAAUAAUAAUUAAAAGAAAUCUCAAAGUUCAGGUCUAAGUUUGGGUUCAGUUAAAAAACUUAGGUGUGUGCAACUUCCUGUUUCAUUCCUACCUGUCUGAACCCUGAGCUGCUUGGAAGACUCAACUAUUGACACUGGAUAGACAAAAGCAGGGAAAGAAUAUAAAGUAACAACUUUGAACAUUAUUUUGUGUGAAUUCACUUGAACAAAGAGCUUUUCCGCAAGAUCCCUAGAGCCUCCUUGGUUGUGAAUGGCAAAUUGGCUUUGACUCAAAUCCUUUUAUAGCGAGCAAUCAACUAAAUCCAAAGGUAUGCCAUGUAAAAUGUUGAUGCAUUUUCCUCUGCUCUGAACAUAAUGAGCCACUUCAAGGAAGAGAAUAGGACAGUGAUGGAUUUUCUUUUUCUUAAUGAGCUUUGGGAUAAUUAUUAUCCUGUUUGUAACCUGACAGUACUGGAACAGCAGAUAUAAGCAGAUUCGAUUUGGGGGAACAAUUACAACCAUCUCACUUGGAUUGCAUCAAAUGAAAACUCAAAUCUCUAAAACAUGUUCAAAUCAUUUUGGAAAGGGUCACAUAUCUACAAUGGUUUAAAUAUAGAGCCCUAAGGAGGAGUCCUCAUCAGUAAUGAGAAAUGUUAUUAUAAAAUGUGUGAACUUAUUUCCCUUCUCUGGUAUCCAGAAUGUUAAUGGGUCAAAGCAAACUGAAAUGGAAUCACAGAAAAACAUUCUGGAGUCAUGAAGUUGUGUUCAGAUGUGGCCCAAUAGUGGUUGAUUGCUAUCAAACAUCAGAAUGAAUUACAGUUUCUAAAAUACUUUUAUUAUUCAUCACACAGCCUCAUAUAUUUAGGGAAGACCCGAACAUUCUCGUCUAUAUUGUGACACAACCUAGCUGUGUGACUUUGGGACAGUUACUUGACCUUUCUGUACCAGUUUUCUCCCCUGAAGAAUAAAGAUAAUAGUGUCUUCUCUACCUAUCUCUCA